UACGUAGGGUGCGAGCGUUGUCCGGAAUUACUGGGCGUAAAGAGCUCGUAGGUGGUUUGUCGCGUUGUUCGUGAAAACCUGAGGCUUAACCUUGGGCGUGCGGGCGAUACGGGCAGACUGGAGUACUGCAGGGGAGACUGGAAUUCCUGGUGCAGCGGUGGAAUGCGCAGAUAUCAGGAGGAACACCGGUGGCGAAGGCGGGUCUCUGGGCAGUAACUGACGCUGAGGAGCGAAAGCGUGGGGAGCGAACAGG
rnacentral:rRNA from 1 species